GUGCUCGCUACGGCAGCACUUAUACUAAAAUUGGAACGAUACAGAGAAGAUUAGCAUGGCCCCUGCACAAGGAUGAGUACAGUCCAUUUGACCUUAUCCAAACAGUA